rnacentral:rRNA from 1 species
UACGUAGGGGGCAAGCGUUGUCCGGAAUUACUGGGCGUAAAGCGCGUGUAGGCGGGACGGUUAGUCGGACGUGAAAGGCUGGGGCUCAACCCCAGAUCGCCGUUCGAAACUGCCGUUCUUGAGGGUCGAAGAGGAGAGUGGAAUUCCUGGUGUAGCGGUGAAAUGCGUAGAGAUCGGGAAGAACAUCGGUGGCGAAAGCGCUCUACUGGACCGCAACUGACACUCAGGGACGAAAGCUAGGGGAGCGAAUGGG